GAAGGUAUAGCUCAGUGGUAAAGCACCUGCUUAGUAUGCACAAAGUCCUAGGUUCAAUCCCCAGUGCUUCCA
rnacentral:tRNA from 1 species